GCCACUGACCUUCAAGGUCUGGGUGAUAUUACCGUUAAGUUGGCUGACGAUAUCGAAUACAAACAGUCCCAACUGG
rnacentral:tRNA from 1 species